AAGAUAAGAUCUGCAAGCACCCCAAGGCAACGCCUCGCACAUAUAGAUUUUUCUUCUGUCCAUAAUUCACUAUAUAAGCCCGUGCUAUCUUCUUGGACCUCAUGGGAUGGAGAACUGCCUGAAUUUAGAGGAAAGGGUGCCACUUCUCUGCAUAAAUCGCAAAAAUUAUGAGGCAAAAUUACCCUGAAAAAUAUGCUGAAAGUUGAUUCACUGAUAUCAUCUUAUGUUAGCUCGUAACAUCACAUAGACAAAAAGAUUAAGCUACCUUGUACUUGAAAUCGUUUGUUAUAUAAGUGUUCCCUAGGUUUUUGAGUGGUUAACAUAUAAAGCUCCCUGUUCUUGGUUGAUUUAUUCUGUGAUUAAUAGUUUUAUUGUUACUUUUCCCACCGGAAACUCCUUAUCUGAC
rnacentral:lncRNA from 1 species